rnacentral:ncRNA from 1 species
UUGCACCCGCUGAUGGAUGCAGCACAUUCUUUUAUAGCGUUUUGCGGGUAACCGGAAUGUGUACCAUCCUGUAUGAAUAAGCACGGCUUUAUUCAUUCAAAGUUUUUU